CCUACGGGUGGCAGCAGUGAGGAAUAUUGGUCAAUGGGCGCGAGCCUGAACCAGCCAAGUCGCGUGAGGGAAGACGGCCCUAUGGAUUGUAAACCUCUUUUGUCGGGGAGCAAAAGACGCCACGCGUGGCGUUCCGAGAGUCCCCGAAGAAAAAGCAUCGGCUAACUCCGUGCCAGCAGCCGCGGUAAUACGGAGGAUGCGAGCGUUAUCCGGAUUUAUUGGGUUUAAGGGGUGCGCAGGCGGAAGAUCAGGUCAGCGGUAAAAUUGAGGGGCUCAACCUGUUCGAGCCGUUGGAACUGGUGUUCUUGAGUGAGUGGAAAGUAGGCGGAAUGCGUGGUGUAGCGGUGAAAUGCAUAGAUAUCACGAAGAACUCCGAUUGCGAAGGCAGCAUACCGGCGCUCAACUGACGCUCAAGCACGAAAGUGUGGGUAUCGAACAGGAUUAGAUACCCCUGUAGUC
rnacentral:rRNA from 1 species